rnacentral:rRNA from 1 species
UCCUGGCUCAGAAUUAAUGCUGAUGGUAUGCCUAAUACAUGCAAGUCGAACGGACUUUGGUUUCGGCCAAGGUUAGUGGCAAACGGGUGAGUAAUACAUAUCUAACAUGCCCCUCUGUGGGGGAUAGCCGCUUGAAAAAGCGAUUAAUACCCCAUAGGAAGCUUUAUCCAUGAUUUAGCUUUUAAAGCCUUCGGGCGCUGAGGGAUUGGGAUAUGCUCUAUUAGCUAGUUGGCGGGAUAAAAGCCCACCAAGGCAAUGAUAGAUAGCUGGUCUUAGAGGAUGAACAGCCACAAUGGGAUUGAGAUACGGCCCAUAUUCCUACGGGAAGCAGCAGUAGGGAAUCUUCCACAAUGGACGAAAGUCUGAUGGAGCAAUACCAUGUGAACGAUGAAGGCCUUUUUGGUUGUAAAGUUCUUUUACGAGGGAUAAUUAUGAUAGUACUUCGUGAAUAAGUGACAGCAAACUAUGUGCCAGCAGCUGCGGUAAUACAUAGGUCGCGAGCAUUAUUCGGAUUUAUUGGGCGUAAAGCAAGCGCAGGCGGAUGUGUAAGUUCUGUGUUAAAUGCAGCUACUCAAUAGUUGUAUGCACCGAAUACUACAUGUCUAGAUUGUGGUAGGGAGUUUCGGAAUUAAGCAUGGAGCGGUGGAAUGUGUAGAUAUGCUUAAGAACACCAGAGGCGAAGGCGGAAACUUAGGCCAUAAAUGACGCUUAGGCUUGAAAGUGUGGGGAGCAAAUGGGAUUAGAUACCCCAGUAGUCCACACCGUAAACGA